UGGUGGAGUGAUUUGUCUGGUUAAUUCCGAUAACGAACGAGACCUUAACCUACUAACUAGUCGUCUCUUGUCAAAGAGUCGGACUUCUUAGAGGGACUUUGGGGGCUACUCCAAGGAAGUUUAAGGCAAUAACA
rnacentral:rRNA from 1 species